rnacentral:rRNA from 1 species
GGGAACGUGCCCUUUGCUUCGGAAUAGCCCCGGGAAACUGGGAGUAAUACCGAAUGUGCCCUAUGGGGGAAAGAUUUAUCGGCAAAGGAUCGGCCCGCGUUGGAUUAGGUAGUUGGUGGGGUAAUGGCCUACCAAGCCGACGAUCCAUAGCUGGUUUGAGAGGAUGAUCAGCCACACUGGGACUGAGACACGGCCCAGACUCCUACGGGAGGCAGCAGUGGGGAAUCUUAGACAAUGGGCGCAAGCCUGAUCUAGCCAUGCCGCGUGAUCGAUGAAGGCCUUAGGGUUGUAAAGAUCUUUCAGGUGGGAAGAUAAUGACGGUACCACCAGAAGAAGCCCCGGCUAACUCCGUGCCAGCAGCCGCGGUAAUACGGAGGGGGCUAGCGUUAUUCGGAAUUACUGGGCGUAAAGCGCACGUAGGCGGAUCGGAAAGUCAGAGGUGAAAUCCCAGGGCUCAACCCUGGAACUGCCUUUGAAACUCCCGAUCUUGAGGUCGAGAGAGGUGAGUGGAAUUCCGAGUGUAGAGGUGAAAUUCGUAGAUAUUCGGAGGAAC